AGCCGCCGCGGGAAUACGUAGGGUGCAAGCGUUAUCCGGAAUUAUUGGGCGUAAAGAGCUCGUAGGCGGUUUGUCGCGUCUGCUGUGAAAACUGGAGGCUCAACCUCCAGCCUGCAGUGGGUACGGGCAGACUAGAGUGCGGUAGGGGAGAUUGGAAUUCCUGGUGUAGCGGUGGAAUGCGCAGAUAUCAGGAGGAACACCGAUGGCGAAGGCAGAUCUCUGGGCCGUAACUGACGCUGAGGAGCGAAAGCGUGGGGAGCGAACAGGAUUAGAUACCCCUGUAGUCCCUGUCUCUUAUACU
rnacentral:rRNA from 1 species